rnacentral:lncRNA from 1 species
GAAAACUGUAUGUCGACCGAACUGCGCAUGCGUGGGCAAAAGCAAAACAAAUUGUUUGAAAUAUUUUAUUGUUUCGUCCAUAAAAUGAUGUUUUUUUCUGGAUUUUGGUGGAAAUGUUGAUGUUCUUCAUAGUGGGAUACAAAAGGUGUGUUAGCGACUGAAUAAGGAAAAUAUUGCGUGUGAAACAGGGUCAGUAUAGAGCCGGCAGGAGCCGCGAAGAGUGUUGUUGUCGAAGAAAAAUGUCACAAUUAAUUGUAAUCUUGUCCAUUCACCUCUGUGUCAGUUUAAAAAAGCUUUAAAUGUAGAGACAUUUGUGGUUCCUCCAGCAUAAUUUAGCCGUUUAACGCUACUAUGUUUCUAAUGGUUGAAAGAGCGCGUGGAAAGGGCAAUUUUCAAGAACAAAAACAAUUACAAUAGUGUGUGUUUAAUAAUUGCUACUGUAGUAUUAAAAUACCUGAAGAGAGUCUCAAUUCUAAUAUUAAGUCGGUUAUAAACCUUGAUAAUAUUAAAGUUUUCAGAAUAUUUGUAUAUCAGAGAAUAUUAAAAGGAAUUUAGACAUAUAAAACAUAUAAUUAAAAAUAUGAAUAUAGUGAAUUCCAUGUUUGUAUUGUGUUUAAUAUCAUCUCUAGAAAUUAACAGUUUAUAAACCAAAUCCUUGUUAUAUUUUUAACUGCCCUUAUAUGCAACAGCACUUUUCAAAUUAUUGAAUUAUAACCAAAUUGUAGCAUUCAGGGGUGUCGCUAGC